UCAGUGAGUGCAUAUCAUGUGAGU
rnacentral:piRNA from 1 species